GUAGAUCAAUGGCAAUAUGCACUGGGGUGGAAACUAGCACACGAUGACAAUGGCGGGAAAUUUUGAAUAGCUGAUGGACAGACGAUCCUGAAUGUAUUUUGCCGAAAGGAAUGCAAGUCUUGUUGUAUCUUGUUUUCCCCUCUGUGUUGCUUUCGAGGAUCAGUCCAAUGGAUUGGGGGCAGUGGUUUAAUUACUAUGCAGGGAUUAAGAAAUACAUGUGGUUUGUCUCUAACGCCGAGAGAAGGAAUAAUGUCCGACCGAGGCGCCACAACGAUCGCGGAUACCGGUGUUCAUAUAACUGCACAUCUGACAGAAUGUCUUAUCCUGAUAAUAUAACUGCAUAUGAGGGGAAAAGAUAGAAACAUCAGGAAAUGAUUUCAAACAUCGGUUUGGUAUUAGACAAUUCCGACAAGUCAAUCUUGACAUUCAUAUGCCAUAAUAAUCAAUAUAGUGAUUGUGGGCAUUAAAGGAAAGACAAGACAAGACAAGUGCGACUGGUCUUACCUUUGAUUUUCUGGGAUACGAUGGUGUCUUCAAUGUGGGCAUAUACUGAUAUAAUCAAUAUAGAGAGGAGGCCGGAAAGAGUCUUUCAUGAGUCGAAUUAUCCUAGUGGGAAUAUGGCUCAUCACUGCUGCAUCAGGUAUGAUCACGUGGUACAAUUUGGAGUGACGCUCAUCAAAAUCUCUCAGAUCAAGAAUUAACCUGGUAUCGAUCAAGACGUCUACUACAGUGAAUACGAUCGAAUUCCAGCUAAUCCAUCUAGAGCCAAAAUUGGAAGUGGAAUAGGUCUUAACUCGAGUACACUUCACCAUGGACCUAUGCGGCGUGGUCAUCGAGGAAUGGCGCAGGUUUUCAUCAAGAGGUGAUGAUGAAUCAGUUGGAUAUUGGAAUGUUGUUUUGAAGGCAUCCGAGUGUGGGUAUGUUACGACGAGAAUGAGGUCUGAUGUCUUGACUAGCCAAUUCAAUUUCCAACAAGAAAGCGGCCAAUUUUACAAUGAGAAGGAGUAGCUAGGGGCUAGGGCAUGUCUGGGCGAUGGACUUUGGUCGAUGAAGUCUCAUAGUCAAUCGUGUGAACACAGUUUGUUCAUAUAGCAUACACAUUGUCAACUGUAUGAUGAACACAGUGUGUAAUCACAAAGUCAAAUGUAUGAACACUUGUGUGUCCACACUGUGACAAAAAUGCGUGUGUAAAAAAACUGAUGAGAAAUAGUUGCCACACAGUUAACUUCGCUGUGACGACUUACACUGUGUUCCGCACAGAGUCAACCUAUUAAAAAAAAAAAUUUUCAACUCUGUCAAAUUCAUUUGUCAGUGUGUUCACACAAUGCAUGCCCACGCAGUGAAGGUAAAAACCAUUCUGUGUCUUUUAUGAAGAUAGCCACAGCGUGUCAUUCAUUGAGUACAUCGUGUUCAUAUAAUUCCACACAGUGACCACAUUGUGAGGAAGAUAGCCACAGUGUAUCAUUCGUUCAGCACAAUGUGUUCAUAUAGUUACACACACUGACCACACUGUGAGGAAGAUAGUUACUGUAGUUUAUUUGUUCAGUACAGUGUGUUCAUAUAGUUACAGUGACCACACUGUGAGGAAGAUAGUCAUAGUGUGUCAUUCGUUCAGCACAGUGUGUUCAUAUGGUUCCACUGAGGAACCACACUGUGAAGAAGGUUUCCACUAUGUGGCAUUUGUUCAGCACAGUGUGAUCAAAGUGUGAUGAUCAAUUAUGCAGAUUUAAAUUACAUGGAAACAAAAAAGUCAAUUCCAUAUUUUGAGGAAAAGGUAAAUGGCCUCUGUGCAUUUUUCAUAUAUAAUGAUUUAUUCAAGAAAUAUAUUUUCUAACGAAAAUUCAGAUGGAAAGAUUAAAAAACACAUCCGUUUUUUAUGGUAACAAUAUGAUUUACUAUCUAAAAUUAUAAACAGCAAUCAAUAUAGUUGAGGAAAUAGGGUGCCUUAUCAGAAUUUUUGCUGGUUAAGGAUUGACAACCUGAUUCCAAAAAUAUCAGUUUCAUUAACUACUAUCAAGUCACUCUUGCAAUUCCGGUUAAUUUUGUACCUAAAAUCACCUAUUUGACCACAGUUAGGAUAAAGUAAUUUCAAAAAAUGCUUUUAUAACACCAGCGAAAUUCAAAAUAUUAUCCGUUGUAGAAAUAAACCCAGAUUUUUUACAGAGUAGUUUCACAGGCAGAAUCAUGACUGCAAUGGUCAUUUAAGCCAUAAGUUUACCGUAGAUUACAGUUUAAUAAUUCUAUUUUCCAAAAUAUGAUGAAGUAAUUAAUCGUAUUUACGGUUUUGAUGUGAAAGAAGUAUGCGGUGGUUCCUAUUCCUCAUUAAUUUCAACAGUUUUGGCCCAUUAUCAUAUGGUCAGGCCUAACUGACAAAUUGCCUGGUCAAAAAAAAAAAAGGGGGGGGGGUAAACAUCACAAAAAAACUCAAAAUGAAAUACUUAAGCGGGAUUUACUCACUGUUAUUCUUAAAAGACAACUCCACCCCAACAAAAUGUUGAUUUUAAGAAAAGGAGAAAAAUCCUUGAAAAUUUCAUCAAAAUCCGGUGUAAAAUAAGAAAGUUAUGACAUUUAUGUUUUCGCUUAAUUUCACAAAGUAGUUAUGCACAUCCUGGUCGGUAUGCAAAUGAGGGAACUGAUGAUGUCACCCACUUACUGUUUCUUCUACAUUUCAUUACAUUUAAUAUGAACUAUUUUAAUUUAAUCAUUGUCACGUGAAACAAAGAUUUAUUUCUCCCUGAACACGUGGAAUUACCAUUGUUUUAACAUUUUUUUGUUCAGUCAAGUUGCUUAUUAUUUUCAAAUCCAUUAAAAUUGCAAUAUUGUGUAAUUCAAACGAUGAAAAAUAAAAAAAAAUAGAGAGAGACAUCAUCGACUCUCAUUUGCAUAUCACUGAGUUGUGCAUAUAAUUGUUUUGUGAAAAAUAAGUGAAAAUUUAAAUUGUCAUGAUCGAUAACAUUUCGUUUUAUUCGAAAAAAACUUCAAAUCUUAACCUUAAUCGGUAUGGAUGUGUUAUGAAACCUAAAAUUUGUGCAGAAGUUUUUAUUAAUAGUAUACUUUAAAAACACUUUUGUUAUUUUGGCCACCUUGAUCACGUCUAUAGGCCCAUGAAAACUACAUAUGUACAGUGUGUGUCAAUCAAACCAUUACAUUUUGGGGAAAAAACUGUCAAAAUUCUGUUUAAAAGUAUGAAGGAGUUUUUACAAAUAUGAUUUUUUUGUUCGCACUGUAUGAGUUGCAAAUUUAGGAUUGUGAUAAUUUUCAUGGUAAUUAUGUUAGGAUGGGUCAGGUUUGAAUACUUUCUAAUGUAGAGUCAUGUGAGACAUCAGUCUUAAUGACCCGAUUUAUGAGCCUCUGAUAAUUCUAGCCACUCACAAUGACAAAUUACAUCAUUCCUAAUUAUCCGAAAGCAAUUAUGAUUUUAAUAAUGGUUUCUCUUUCGUUCUUUCUUUCUUCUUUCACUGCGCCUUGGGCACUCUGCCGAGUGGAUUUGGCGCAUUACAAAUCACAUAUAUUAUUAUUAUUAUUAUAUAAGUGUGUGCUUAUUAAGUUUUUAUGAAGGGUUGUUUUACAUUCAGGGUAUGUUUAAAAGGGUAUUCUGUACAUUAUAAAAAUAUAUGUAAUAUUAUCUCAAAUCAAAGAUGGCACUGUCAGAGCAACCUGCAAGAGAAAAAAAAUGAAAUAUACGUUUAUCUCUCAAAAUUUACGAUAUAUGUCAUUUUAUGGCAAAAUUUACUUUCGUCCCCCCUCCCAUUUUUUCUUCUAAUUUUGAGUCCCCGUUGAAUAUUAUAAAAUCAUUCGGGAUUGUUUGACCAAUCAUUUUACCAACCAUUCAGUUUUGAUUAAUGAAAUUUGAUUAUUCAAAAAAUGAAAACCUCCAAAGCUUCAGGUAAUUUGAUUUUUGUUGUGACUAUCAACCAAAAAAUGGAGUGUCAAUUUUGGUCCAAAAAAUUAUUGUCCUUUCAAAAUUCGGCAUUUGUAUGCAUUUUGACAUUACUUGAUUACUAUUUUUUUUGUCUAUGAGAAAACUUGUGUGCGUGUGUGUAUGUAUAUAUGCAAGAAAUUUAGAAUGUUCAAUUUGCCCAAAAUCCGCCUACAUUUUAAGACAGUUAACAUUCAAACGUUGUAAAAUCAAUUUCUGUCUAAAAGUAUCCUCUCCGAAAAAUGAAGCAAUCAACAGAUAUUGUUUUUAGUCAAAUGAAACAGGUAUGUAUAUCCUGAUCCUAAAACAUCCCUGAAUACUUUCCAUGCAUUUUAAUAGUAUUUUUAUCACUUUGGUAAAACAAAUGCCACAUUUCUGGAAAAAGCCUGACAAAAUUAAUAAUCUGAAUAUGAAGGAGAUUUUUUUAUAUUGAUAACUGUUUUAAAGUCUUCUCUAUCAGAUGACCUUUUUGUCCAAGAGGUAAAAAAAAAACGGCUUGCGCCAAGAUGAAAGACAUAAAUUAAGCAGUAGUCUGGAUUGAAUACUCAAUCAAAUAAUUGGUCCUUGCAUACAUUAUGGUUAUGUGGAUGUAUUUGUUGUACCCAUUCAAUUUAUGCAUGAUUGGGGAUAAGUUAUGUGUAAUAACAUUUUCACUUUAAGCAAGAGCGUGACCAAACUUCUUACUCGAAGUACACAAAAUAAGGAGAAGUUAGACAAAUCAAUAUCGGUGAUUUAAUCAUUACAACUGAUUGAUUAUUUUCUAUUGCUCAAUAUGCAAUAUCUUCUUAUAAAGUGAUUUUUAUAUAAUUCCUUUCUGCUUUUUUCAUAGUCAAAAUGAAUGAAACCAUCUCAUUAAAAACGCUGAUAACUAUUUGUAUUCAUUUUCAUGUAUUCCUUGGAAGAUCUUAAAGAUAAUUAUCCAUCAGUAUUCAACUAAGCACAACAUAUAUAGAAUAUUACAAUCAUAAUAAUUUGACUCAUAAUUCCAACAUAAUCACAAAUGAAUGCAAAUGGGCAAGUCAUCUGAUUGGGCGGAGGAACCUACUUCAUUCACACUGCUGCUUCAACUGUGCACAUUUGCUUCAUUUUGGCGAAAGUCAUUUUUUGACACCCUGAGCAACAAGGGUCAGUGUCCAGUCAAGCAUUGUUAAAAAAUUGAACAUUUUGUAUCAUCUGAUAAAGAAGACUUUAUUGCAUGUAGCAAUAUCAAAAGAUUGACCAUUAAAUAAUAGUGUUACACCUC